rnacentral:lncRNA from 1 species
UGGUCAAUGACUAGCUGUGAGUCGCCUCGGAUGUCAAGCCAUCGGAUGCCCAGCUCGAUGGCGAUGUAGAGCCCAUUGACGAGAGCCUCGUAUUCGGCUACAUUGUUAGAUGUAGGAAAAUGGAGGCGGACCAUAUACCUCAAGUGCACGCCGAGGGGGGAGAUGAAGACCAGGCCUGCUCGGGCACCAGUUUUCAUCAGUGACCUGUCAAAGUACAUCAUCC